rnacentral:rRNA from 1 species
UGCAGUCUGCAACUCGACUGCACGAAGCUGGAAUCGCUAGUAAUCGCGGAUCAGCACGCCGCGGUGAAUACGUUCCCGGGCCUUGUACACACCGCCCGUCACACCAUGGAAGUCUGCAAUGCCCGAAGCCGGUGGCCUAACCACUUAUGUGGAAGGAGCCGUCUAAGGCAGGGCAGAUGACUGGGGUGAAGUCGUAACAAGGUAUC